AAAAAAGUCCUUUGUUGAGCCGGCUUUCGCCCCUGACAAAGGACUUUCCCUGGGUUGGGACUCUUUGGACAGGACUAGUUGCUUCGAUUCCACUCAUGUCAGCUCAUAACUUCGCUCCUCGAUCGCUUUAUCUUUCUAGUGAUCUAGUGAUGCGGGAAGGGAAUGAUAAUUAGACUCCUAUAGCAGUUCGGGAGCAUCGGCAUCU
rnacentral:lncRNA from 1 species